GCGACCUGUAUGCAUUUGGUGCAGGUUCGUGAUAGUUACUCAGACCAAUCCACGUUCUGCCAUAUUGCCUUCCACCUGUUCGACGAAAUACCGCCAUCUCCGAGGGCGUCGCCACCGGCCUGCCCGACCAACUCACCGUCGCCAUGACCGCCAGUUGAGCCGACUACGCCUAGAAAACUAAGCAAGUGGAGAAUGAUGAUGAUUUGAAGGCCAGAGUUGAUCUGAUUGUUUGUUCUUUGGAAACCUGCAACGACUGGCAUACAUAAGACUGUUGGUUUAUGGUGGAAGUCAAAUUAAAUGGCUCCCGAUGAAGUAUCAUGAAGCUUUUGUGGCCUUUUCUAAGGCUAUAUUUGAUGGAAGGCACAAGCCUUCGUAUAUGAUAGUAUCUGUCCAUCUACUGCAUCUACCUUAUCGUUGUAUCAGCCUUGUCAUUGCCCGAGACGCCAAGGCAUAGAUGAUGUUGAAUUUUUUUGCAUUAUUGACCUCAUCAUGCUUUGCCAUCUUACCAGUGGAAAUAUUUACAUCAAAAGUGGUCCAAUCUAUUCUAAUUGGAACGUUGACCCUUUAUGUUGCUCUCAAGACCAUGUCGUCUCCACUCUCAAGUGUUUAACCUGUCGCAAGAUUGAAUAAACCUUUGAUAUUUCCUGCAAAAUUGACUUUAUGUAUGUCUGAAUGUGACUUUCUGGUGCUGUAAAACGAUCAAGCGCAUUCCUCGUUGACGAUUGCGUGUUCCUGUAUUUUCUUUC